rnacentral:rRNA from 1 species
GACAGAGGAGCCAAGCGUUGUCCGGAUUGACUGGGCGUAAAGCGCACGCAGGCGGAUGCGCGCGUGGGGUGUGAAAUCUGGCCGCUUAACGGCCAGGCGCCAUCCCAUACGGCGCGUCUGGAGUGAUGCAGAGGUCGAUGGAAUUGCCGGUGUAGUGGUGAAAUGCGUAGAGAUCGGCAGGAACACCCAGGGGGAAACCAGCCGACUGGGCAUCUACUGACGCUGAGGUGCGAGAGCGUGGGGAGCGAACCGG